rnacentral:rRNA from 1 species
GUCUUAUUGAAAAUAAUUUUAAGUCAAAUCUGCCCAAUGAAAUUUUAAAUGGCUGCAGUAUAAAUAACUGUACAAAGGUAGCAUAAUAAUUUGUUUUUUAAUUAAAAACUUGAAUAAAAGAUUUAAUGAAAUAUAAACUUUCUAAAAUUUAUUAAAUAAAAUUUUUAUUUAAAUAAAAAAAUUUAAAUAAAUUUUAAAGACGAGAAGACCCUAAGAAUUUUUAUUAAAUAAAUUUUUAAAAAAAUUAUUUAAUUUUAAUUGGGGGUAUUUUAAAAUUUAAUUAAUUUUUAAUUAAAAUAUAAACAUAAAUUUUUGAAUAAAUAAUACUUUAUAAAAAAUAAAAUUAAAUUACCUUAGGGAUAACAGCAUAAUCUUUUUUUAAAGUUCAAAUUUAUAAAAAAGCUUAU